AACCAACCGGGAUUGCCUCAGUAACGGCGAGUGAAGCGGCAACAGCUCAAAUUUGAAAUCUGGCUCCCUGCGGGGUCCGAGUUGUAAUUUGUAGAGGGUGUUUCGGGUGCGGUGCCGGUCUAAGUCCCUUGGAACAGGGCGUCAUAGAGGGUGAGAAUCCCGUCUGCGACUCGGCCGCCAACCCCGUGUGAAACCCCUUCGACGAGUCGAGUUGUUUGGGAAUGCAGCUCAAAAUGGGUGGUAAAUUUCAUCUAAAGCUAAAUACCGGCCAGAGACCGAUAGCGCACAAGUAGAGUGAUCGAAAGAUGAAAAGCACUUUGGAAAGAGAGUUAAACAGUACGUGAAAUUGUUGAAAGGGAAGCGCUGGCGACCAGACCUGUCCCCGGGCGAUCAUCGGCCAUUCGUGGCCGUGCACUCGCCCGGACGCAGGCCAGCAUCGGUUGCGGCGGCGGGACAAAGCGCCCGGGAACGUAGCUUCUCUCGGGGAGCGUUAUAGCCCGGGUGGCCAUGCCGCCCGCCGCGACCGAGGACCGCGCUUCGGCUAGGAUGCUGGCGUAAUGGUCGUCAGCGACCCGUCUUGAAACACGGACCAAGGAGUCUACCAUCUAUGCGAGUGUUUGGGUGUCAAACCCAGGCGCGGAAUGAAAGUGAACGGAGGUGAGACCCCGCAAGGGCGCAUCAUCGACCGAUCCAGAUGUCUUCGGAUGGAUUUGAGUACGAGCAUGGCUGGUGGGACCCGAAAGAUGAUGAACUAUGCCUGAAUAGGGUGAAGCCAGAGGAAACUCUGGUGGAGGCUCGCAGCGGUUCUGACGUGCAAAUCGAUCGUCAAAUUUGGUAUAGGGGCGAAAGACCAAUCGAAUCAUCUAGUUAGCUU
rnacentral:rRNA from 1 species